rnacentral:rRNA from 1 species
UACGUAGGGUGCGAGCGUUAAUCGGAAUUACUGGGCGUAAAGCGUGCGCAGGCGGUGCGCCAAGCUCGAUGUGAAAGCCCCGGGCUUAACCUGGGAAUUGCAUUGAGGACUGGCGUGCUCGAGUGCGGCAGAGGGGGGUGGAAGUUCCGCGUGUAGCAGUGAAAUGCGUAGAGAUGCGGAGGAACACCGAUGGCGAAGGCAGAUCGUC